CAAGCAAGCCAGACAGUCGCGUGCACAGCGCCGAAAGGCCGUGUAUGAGGAAAGUCCGGGCUCCACAGGGCAAGGAUAACGGGUAACGCCCGCCGAAGGCGACUUCAGGAAAAGUGCAACAGAGAUAUACCGCCGCAGCAAUUGCGGUAAGGGUGGAAAGGCGAGGUAAGAGCUCACCGGCCGGCCGGGAACGGUCCGGUCCUGUAAACUCUAUCCGGAGCAACACCGUGGUGGAAGCAUACGGCCUGCCCGGCCGCUUCCGGGAGGUGGCGUGAGCGCAGCGGCAACGCUGCGCCAAGAUAGAUGACUGUCAAAUACAGAACCCGGCUUACAGACUUACUUGCACC
rnacentral:RNase_P_RNA from 1 species